rnacentral:tRNA from 1 species
GGGCACAUAGCUCAGCCGGGAGAGCAUCUGGGUCACAACCAGAAGGUCGUGGGUUCGAGCCCCGCUGUGCCCA